AGAGUUUGAUCCUGGCUCAGGAUAAACGCUGGCGGCGUGCAUUAGACAUGCAAGUCGAACGAACGAGCUUGCUCGUUAGUGGCGGACGGCUGAGUAACGCGUAGGUGACCUGCCCCGAAGUGGGGGAUAACUGCCCGAAAGGGUGGCUAAUACCGCAUGUGGCGACGCUUUCAUUGGCGUCAUCAAAGCCGCGAGGCGCUUCGGGAGGGGCCUGCGUCCGAUUAGCUCGUUGGUGGGGUAAUGGCUCACCAAGGCGACGAUCGGUAGGUGGUCUGAGAGGAUGAUCAGCCACACUGGGACUGAGACACGGCCCAGACUCCUACGGGAGGCAGCAGUGGGGAAUUUUCCGCAAUGGGCGCAAGCCUGACGGAGCAACGCCGCGUGAGGGAGGAAGGCCCUAGGGUUGUAAACCUCUUUUCUCAAGGAAGAAGAUCUGACGGUACUUGAGGAAUAAGCCUCGGCUAACUCCGUGCCAGCCGCCGCGGUAAUAC
rnacentral:rRNA from 1 species